CGGGGCGUAGCGCAGGUGGUAGCGCGGCUGGUUCGGGACCAGCAGGUCGCAGGUUCGAAUCCUGUCGCUCCGA
rnacentral:tRNA from 1 species